rnacentral:rRNA from 1 species
GACGAACGCUGGCGGCGUGCUUAACACAUGCAAGUCGAGCGGUAAGGCCCUUUCGGGGGUACACGAGCGGCGAACGGGUGAGUAACACGUGGGUGACCUGCCCUCAGCUCUGGGAUAAGCCUGGGAAACCGGGUCUAAUACCGGAUAUGACUCCAUGACGCAUGUUGUGGGGUGGAAAGCCUUGUGCGGCUGAGGAUGGGCCCGCGGCCUAUCAGCUUGUUGGUGGGGUGAUGGCCUACCAAGGCGACGACGGGUAGCCGGCCUGAGAGGGCGACCGGCCACACUGGGACUGAGUCACGGCCCAGACUCCUACGGGAGGCAGCAGUGGGGAAUCUUGCGCAAUGGGCGAAAGCCUGACGCAGCGACGCCGCGUGAGGGAUGACGGCCUGG